rnacentral:rRNA from 1 species
CCUACGGGAGGCAGCAGUGAGGAAUAUUGGUCAAUGGGCGCGAGCCUGAACCAGCCAAGUAGCGUGAAGGAUGACUGCCCUACGGGUUGUAAACUUCUUUUAUAAAGGAAUAAAGUGAGGCACGUGUGCCUUUUUGUAUGUGCUUUAUGAAUAAGCAGCGGCUAACUCCAUGCCAGCAGCCGCGGUAAUACGGAGGAUCAGAGCGUUAUCCGGAUGUAUUGGGUUUAAAGGGAGCGUAGAUGGGUUGUUAAGUCAGUUGUGAAAGUUUGCGGCUCAACCGUAAAAUUGCAAUUGAUACUGGCAGACUUGAGUACAGGUGAGGUAGGCGGAAUUCGUGGUGUAGCGGUGAAAUGCUUAGAUAUCACGAAGAACUCCGAUUGCGAAGGCAGCUUACUAAACUGCCACUGACAUUGAUGCUCGAAAGUGUGGGUAUCAAACAGGAUUAGAUACCCGAGUAGUC